rnacentral:lncRNA from 10 species
UAGGAGGAGGUCAAAAUAUCGAUAUUCACAGGAGUUUGGAAGAAGUUGAUUCCAGCCCUCACAGAUGACUUUGAAAGGUUUAAUACUUCAGUGGAGGAAGUAACUGAAGAUAUGGUGGAAAUAGCAAGAGAACUAGAAUUAGAAGUAGAGGUGGAAGAUGUGACUGAAUUGCUGAAAUCUCAUGAUAAAAUUAUUGAAUGGGUGAGGAAUUACCUCUUAUAGAUAAGCAAAGAAAGUAGUUUCUUGAGAUGGUAUCUAUGUCUGGUGAAGAUGCUCUGAAUGUUGUUGGGAUAACAACCAAGAAUUUCGAGUAUUAUAUAAACUUAGUCGAUAAAGCAGCAGUAGGGUUUGAUAGGACUGAAUCAAAUUUUGAAGGAAGUUCUAUUAUGGGCAAAAUGCUAUCAAACAGCACUGAAUGCUACAGAGAAACAUUUUGAGAAAGGAAGAGUCAAUUCAUGUAGCAAACUUUAUUCUUGUCUUAUUUCAAUAAAUUUCCACAGCCAUUCCUAUUUUUAGCAACCACCAUUCUGAUCAGUCAGCAGCCAACAAUAUCGAGGAAGGACUGUCCACCAGCAAAGAGAUUAGGAUGUGCCAGGUGCGGUAGCACAUGCCUGUAGUCCCAGCUACUCAGGAGGCUGAGGCAGGAAGAUCAAUUGAACCCAGGAGUUCUAUGCUGUGGUGCACUAUUCCAAUCAGGUGUCUGCACUAAUUGAAGCAUCACUAUGGUGACAUUCUGGGAGUAGGGGACUACCAGGUUGACUAAGGAGGGAUUAAAUAGCUCAGGAAAUAAACAGAGCAGGUCUAAACUCCCAUGCUGAUCAGUAGUGGGAUUGUUUCUGUGAAAAACCACUGUACUCCAGGGGCAACAUAGUGACACCCUGUAUCUAAAUUUAAAAAAUAAAAUAAAAUAAUUUUAAGAAAAGAUUAUGACUUGAAGGCUCAGAUGAUUGUUACCAUUUUCAGCUAACAUUUUAAUUAAGGUAUUUACAUUGUCUUUUAGACAUAAUAGUAUUACACACUUAAGAGACCAGCAGAUAGUAUAAACAUAACUUUUAUAUGCACUGAGAAACCAAAAACACUGAGUAACACAUUAUUGUGAUAUUAACUUUUAUUAUGGUAGUCUGGAAUCAAACCUGCAAUAUCUCUAAGGUAUGCCUAUACCAUGCAUAUAAUUCUACAAAAAAAUAAAAUUUGAAAAAAAUAUUUUCUGUGUCCAAAACAUUUAUAUUUUAAUGUUAUAAAAACCAAUCAAGCUUAGUAUUUAUUAAUGAAGAAUGUUUUAAAAGUUUCUGCACAUGCUCCUAAACAAUGAUGGAAGCUUGGUGCUUCCCCUGAUGACCAUUUUCGAUGGCAUGUUCUAAAACAGGAAGAUGAGAAAAUCCCAAACAUAAAUUAAGAGAAAACCUGAUGUGGUCAGAGAACAAUUUCAGAAGGAGUGGCCAAGUGAGAAAACUGAAAGAUAAUUGUUUGUGAUCAGACAUUAGAAAGUUUAAAAUUAAGAAUUCAGGAAUGUUACAACUCUGAUUUACUUCCAUUACCUCCAUGAAACUUUUAGCAACACCUUGAUGCAAAACCGAAGUCUUAUAUUUCUUCAUUUGACACAAACAAAUGGAAAAACAUUCCAUCCUCAUAGAUUGAAAAAAUCAAUAUCAUUGAAAUGGCUAUGCUGCACAGAGCAAUCUGCAGAUUCAAUGCUAUUACUAUCAAGUUACCCAUAUCAUUUUUCAAAGUAUUAGAAAAAAAAAUUCUAAAAUUCAUAUGGAACCACUGAAGAGUCCAAAUAACCAAAGCAAUCCUAAGCAAAAGAAUGAAGCUAGCUGAAGGCAUCACAUUAUCUGAUUUCAAACUAUACUAGAAAGCUACAGUAACCAAAAGAGCAUGGUACUGGUACAGAAAUAGACCAAUGGAAAAUAAUGGAGAACCCAGAAAUAAAGAUUCAUAUCUACAGUCAUCUGAUCUUCAACAGAGUUGACAAGAAAAUAAGCACUGGGGAAAUAACUCCCUAAUUCAAUGAACGGUGCUGGGAUAGAUGGCCGGCCAUGUGCAGUGGAAUGAAACUGGACAUCUGCCUUUCACUAUGUAGAGAAAUUAACUCCAGAUGGAUUGAAGAUUUAAAUGUGAUACUUCAAACAAUAAGAAUCCUAUAAAAAACCUAGGAAAUGCCAUUCUGGACAUCAGCCUUAGGAAAGAAUUUAUGACCAAGUCCUCAAAAGCAAUUGCAACAAAACCAAAAGUUGACAAGUGGGACCUAAUUAAACUAAAGAACUCCUGCUUAGCAAAAGAAACUAUCAAAAGAAUAAACAGACAACCUAGAGAAUGAGAGAAAAUAUUCAAACACUAUGAUCCAACAGAGGUCUAAGAUCUAGAAUCUAUAAUGAACUUACACAAUUAAACAAGCAAAAAACAACCCCAUUAAAAAGUGGACAAAAUACAUGAACAGACACUUCUCAAAAGAAGACAUCCAAAUGGCCAAAAAUGUAUUUUAAAAAUGCUCAACAUCACUAAUUAUCAGAGAAAUGCAAAUCAAAACCACAAUGAGAAACCAUCUCACAUCAGUCAGAAUGGCUAAAAACAAUAGAGGCUGGGGAGGCUUCAGAAAAAGGGAGAUGCUUAUACACUGUUGGUAGGAAUGUAAAUUGGUCCAGCCACUAUGGAAAGGAGUUUGAAGAUUUCUUAAAGUACUUAAAACAGAACUACCAUUUGACCCAGCAAUCCCAUUACUGGUAUAUACCCCCCCAAAAAUAAAUUGUUCUACCAGAAAGACACAUGCACUCAUAUGUUCAUUACAGCACUAUUAGCAAUGGCAAAGACAUGGAACCAACCUAGGUGCCCAUCAAUGGUAGACUGGAUAAAGAAAAUGUAGUACAUGUCCACCAUGGAAUACUAUGCAGCCAUAAAAAGGAAAUCAUGUCCUUUGCCAUUAUCCAAUGCAAACUAACACAGGAACAGAAAACUUAAUAUCGCAUGUUCUCACUUAUAAGUGGGAGCUAAGCAUUGGUUACACAUGAACAUAAAGAUGAGAACAAUAGACAAUGAGGACUACUAACUAAAUGGGGGAAAACAGAGAGGGAGAAAAGUACUGAAAAACUACCUAUUGGGUACUAUGCUCACUACCUGGGUGAGAAUCGUUCAUACCCCAAACCUCAGCAUCAUACAAUAUGCCCAUGUAACAAACUUGUACAUGUACCCGCUGAAUCUAAAAGUUGAAAUUAUUUUUUAAAAUUAAAAACAAAUUUACAAAA